AUUGAACGCUGGCGGAAUGCUUUACACAUGCAAGUCGAACGGCAGCACGGACUUCGGUCUGGUGGCGAGUGGCGAACGGGUGAGUAACAUAUCGGAACGUAUCCAAUAAUGGGGGAUAACGAGUCGAAAGAUUCGCUAAUACCGCAUACGCCCUACGGGGGAAAGCUGGGGACCUUCGGGCCUGGCGUUAAUGGAGCGGCCGAUAUCUGAUUAGCUAGUUGGUGAGGUAAAGGCUCACCAAGGCGACGAUCAGUAGCUGGUCUGAGAGGACGAUCAGCCACACUGGAACUGAGACACGGUCCAGACUCCUACGGGAGGCAGCAGUGGGGAAUUUUGGACAAUGGGCGCAAGCCUGAUCCAGCCAUUCCGCGUGAGUGAAGAAGGCCUUCGGGUUGUAAAGCUCUUUCGCAAGGGAAGAAAACUUAGCCACUAACAUUGGUUGAGGUUGGCGGUACCUUGAUAAGAAGCACCGGCUAACUACGUGCCAGCCGCCGCCGUAA
rnacentral:rRNA from 1 species